AACGAACGCUGGCGGCAGGCCUAAUACAUGCAAGUCGAACGCCCCGCAAGGGGAGUGGCGCACGGGUGAGUAACGCGUGGGAAUGUGCCCUUAGGUGCGGAACAACGUUUGGAAACGAACGCUAAUACCGCAUAAUAUCUCCGGACCAAAGAUUUAUCGCCUAGGGAUCAGCCCGCGUUGGAUUAGCUAGUUGGUGGGGUAACGGCCUACCAAGGCGACGAUCCAUAGCUGGUCUGAGAGGAUGAUCAGCCACACUGGGACUGAGACACGGCCCAGACUCCUACGGGAGGCAGCAGUAAGGAAUAUUGGACAAUGGGGGCAACCCUGAUCCAGCCAUGCCGCGUGAGUGAUGAAGGCCUUCGGGUUGUAAAGCUCUUUUAGGUGUGACGAUGAUGACGGUAACACCAGAAAAAGCUCCGGCUAACUUCGUGCCAGCCGCCGCAGUAAAAC
rnacentral:rRNA from 1 species